CAGCCGCCGCGGUAAUACCGGCGGCCCGAGUGGCGGUCACUAUUAUUGGGCUUAAAGCGUCCGUAGCCGGGUUGGGAAGUCCUCCGGGAAAUCUGGCCGCUUAACGGUCAGAAUGCCGGAGGAUACUCCCAGCCUAGGGAGCGGGCGAGGCCGAGGGGAUUCCCGGAGUAGGGGUGAAAUUCUAUAAUCCCGGGAGGACCACCUGUGGCGAAGGCGCUCGGCUGGAACGCGUCCGACGGUGAGGGACGAAGGCCAGGGGAGCAAACCGGAUUAGAUACCCGGGUAGUCCUGGCGGUAAACGAUGCGGACUUUGUGUCGGACAAGCUAUGAGCUUGUCCGGUGCCGGAGGGAAACCGUUAAGUCCGCCGCCUGGGGAGUACGGCCGCAAGGCUGAAACUUAAAGGAAUUGGCGGG
rnacentral:rRNA from 1 species